UUCUCGGCGCGGACGGCAUUCCCGUGGACCUUCGGCCGAAGGGGCGACGCGCGACACGAAAACAUCCGUGGAGCUCAAGUUUGAGGUGAAACCAGGCUCAGGGUCCACCUGUCCUCGCUGAUCCAUGGAUUUCUGUGUGACCAGCUUUGGGGCACAACCUGAAGACCCUCACAGUCACCUUCCCCAUCUCCACCCUCUGGUAUUCAUCAGACAGGAGCAACGGCUCAGCCACGUUCAACUCCACUGAGAGGGUCCUGCAGAGCCUGGGGAGACCCUGGUCCCAGCAGCUCCUGGUGGGUUAAAUCCCACCCAGCCCCUCCCCCACUCCCUGUCCCUCCUGCUCCUCCUCCUCCUCCUUCCUCCCCAGCUGGAUCCUUGUUCAAGAAGAGCAGCCUGGGCCUCUUCUCCUUGAGUUGCAGACUGGUCUCCCUCAGGUGAGACCCUCCCCUGAGCAUUUGCCCCUAAUGACCACUUUUGUCACCACCCCUCUCUGUCUCCCCCCUGUCCUCCCAUUUCCUCCUUCCUGUUCUGGCCCCCACCCCAGAGGUUUCAGGACCUCUCUCUAGAGUCCCCACAUCCCUCUCUCCC